CAGCAGCAGCAGCAGCAGCAGCAGCAGCAGCAGCAGCUCUUAGUGAAUGCUUAAUGCAAAGAAAAUGGGAAACCCACACAGCCUGCCUCCCAUGUGCAAGAGUAGUCAAGAGAAGAAGCCUCAACUUCUGCAAAGGCUCACUCACGCUCAGCCUCUGCAGAUCAGAAACUCUCAGAGGACCCGAGGGCCCGCUCUGAUCUCCUACUUAGAAAAUUUUGUUUGUGAUUAAUGUGCGCGAAGAGUACUGACUACUGGGAUUCAUUGUCAUAUUUUGGUACAUGUGGACCACAUGUUCUAAUCAAACCCAGCCUCCUUUCCCAGCAUCUAGAAAUCACCAAUCUGCAUUAAAGUUCUGAUCUUUUCCUUCCUCCC